rnacentral:rRNA from 1 species
UUAAGCGACCAAGCGUACACGGUGGAUGCCCUGGCAGUCAGAGGCGAUGAAGGACGUGCUAAUCUGCGAAAAGCGCCGGUAAGGUGAUAUGAACCGUUAUAACCGGCGAUGUCCGAAUGGGGAAACCCAGUGUGACUCGUCACACUAUCAUUAACUGAAUCCAUAGGUUAAUGAGGCGAACCGGGGGAACUGAAACAUCUAAGUACCCCGAGGAAAAGAAAUCAACCGAGAUUCCCCCAGUAGCGGCGAGCGAACGGGGAGGAGCCCAGAGCCUGAAUCAGCAUGUGUGUUAGUGGAAGCGUCUGGAAAGGCGCGCGAUACAGGGUGAGAGCCCCGUACACAAAAGCGCAUAUGCUGUGAGCUCGAUGAGUAGGGCGGGACACGUGGUAUCCUGUCUGAAUAUGGGGGGACCAUCCUCCAAGGCUAAAUACUCCUGACUGACCGAUAGUGAACCAGUACCGUGAGGGAAAGGCGAAAAGAACCCCGGCGAGGGGAGUGAAACAGAACCUGAAACCGUGUACGUACAAGCAGUGGGAGCCUCUCUUUAUGGGGGGUGACUGCGUACCUUUUGUAUAAUGGGUCAGCGACUUAUAUUCUGUAGCAAGGUUAACCGCAUAGGGGAGCCGAAGGGAAACCGAGUCUUAACCGGGCGUUAAGUUGCAGGGUAUAGACCCGAAACCCGGUGAUCUAGCCAUGGGCAGGUUGAAGGUUGGGUAACACUAACUGGAGGACCGAACCGACUAAUGUUGAAAAAUUAGCGGAUGACCUGUGGCUGGGGGUGAAAGGCCAAUCAAACCGGGAGAUAGCUGGUUCUCCCCGAAAGCUAUUUAGGUAGCGCCUCGUGAAUUCAUCUCCGGGGGUAGAGCACUGUUUCGGCUAGGGGGCCAUCCCGGCUUACCAACCCGAUGCAAACUGCGAAUACCGGAGAAUGUUAUCACGGGAGACACACGGCGGGUGCUAACGUCCGUCGUGAAGAGGGAAACAACCCAGACCGCCAGCUAAGGUCCCAAAGUCAUGGUUAAGUGGGAAACGAUGUGGGAAGGCCCAGACAGCCAGGAUGUUGGCUUAGAAGCAGCCAUCAUUUAAAGAAAGCGUAAUAGCUCACUGGUCGAGUCGGCCUGCGCGGAAGAUGUAACGGGGCUAAACCAUGCACCGAAGCUGCGGCAGCGACACUUUAGUGUUGUUGGGUAGGGGAGCGUUCUGUAAGCCGUUGAAGGUGUGUCGUGAGGCAUGCUGGAGGUAUCAGAAGUGCGAAUGCUGACAUAAGUAACGAUAAAGCGGGUGAAAAGCCCGCUCGCCGGAAGACCAAGGGUUCCUGUCCAACGUUAAUCGGGGCAGGGUGAGUCGACCCCUAAGGCGAGGCCGAAAGGCGUAGUCGAUGGGAAACGGGUUAAUAUUCCCGUACUUGGUGUUACUGCGAAGGGGGGACGGAGAAGGCUAUGUUGGCCGGGCGACGGUAGUCCCGGUUUAAGCGUGUAGGCUGGUUUUCCAGGCAAAUCCGGAAAAUCAAGGCUGAGGCGUGAUGACGAGGCACCACGGUGCUGAAGCAACAAAUGCCCUGCUUCCAGGAAAAGCCUCUAAGCAUCAGGUAACAUCAAAUCGUACCCCAAACCGACACAGGUGGUCAGGUAGAGAAUACCAAGGCGCUUGAGAGAACCCGGGUGAAGGAACUAGGCAAAAUGGUGCCGUAACUUCGGGAGAAGGCACGCUGACACGUAGGUGAAGUGAUUUACUCAUGGAGCUGAAGUCAGUCGAAGAUACCAGCUGGCUGCAACUGUUUAUUAAAAACACAGCACUGUGCAAACACGAAAGUGGACGUAUACGGUGUGACGCCUGCCCGGUGCCGGAAGGUUAAUUGAUGGGGUCAGCGCAAGCGAAGCUCCUGAUCGAAGCCCCGGUAAACGGCGGCCGUAACUAUAACGGUCCUAAGGUAGCGAAAUUCCUUGUCGGGUAAGUUCCGACCUGCACGAAUGGCGUAAUGAUGGCCAGGCUGUCUCCACCCGAGACUCAGUGAAAUUGAACUCGCUGUGAAGAUGCAGUGUACCCGCGGCAAGACGGAAAGACCCCGUGAACCUUUACUAUAGCUUGACACUGAACAUUGAGCCUUGAUGUGUAGGAUAGGUGGGAGGCUUUGAAGCGUGGACGCCAGUCUGCGUGGAGCCGACCUUGAAAUACCACCCUUUAAUGUUUGAUGUUCUAACGUGGACCCGUAAUCCGGGUUGCGGACAGUGUCUGGUGGGUAGUUUGACUGGGGCGGUCUCCUCCUAAAGAGUAACGGAGGAGCACGAAGGUUGGCUAAUCCUGGUCGGACAUCAGGAGGUUAGUGCAAUGGCAUAAGCCAGCUUGACUGCGAGCGUGACGGCGCGAGCAGGUGCGAAAGCAGGUCAUAGUGAUCCGGUGGUUCUGAAUGGAAGGGCCAUCGCUCAACGGAUAAAAGGUACUCCGGGGAUAACAGGCUGAUACCGCCCAAGAGUUCAUAUCGACGGCGGUGUUUGGCACCUCGAUGUCGGCUCAUCACAUCCUGGGGCUGAAGUAGGUCCCAAGGGUAUGGCUGUUCGCCAUUUAAAGUGGUACGCGAGCUGGGUUUAGAACGUCGUGAGACAGUUCGGUCCCUAUCUGCCGUGGGCGCUGGAAGACUGAGGGGGGCUGCUCCUAGUACGAGAGGACCGGAGUGGACGCAUCACUGGUGUUCGGGUUGUCAUGCCAAUGGCACUGCCCGGUAGCUAAAUGCGGAAAAGAUAAGUGCUGAAAGCAUCUAAGCACGAAACUUGCCCCGAGAUGAGUCUUCCCUGAGACUUUGAGUCUCCUGAAGGAACGUUAAAGACGAUGACGUUGAUAGGCCGGGUGUGUAAGCGCAGCGAUGCGUUGAGCUAACCGGUACUAAUGAACCGUGAGGCUUAACCUU